rnacentral:rRNA from 1 species
UACGUAGGGUGCAAGCGUUGUCCGGAAUUAUUGGGCGUAAAGAGCUCGUAGGCGGUUUGUUGCGUCGGCUGUGAAAUCCCGAGGCUCAACCUCGGGUCUGCAGUCGAUACGAGCAAACUAGAGUGUUGCAGGGGAGACUGGAAUUCCUGGUGUAGCGGUGAAAUGCGCAGAUAUCAGGAGGAACACCGGUGGCGAAGGCGGCGCUCUGGGCCGGUACUGACGCUGAGGAGCGAAAGCGUGGGGAGCGAACAGG